ACCUAGCGGCGGACGGGUGAGUAAUGCUUAGGAAUCUGCCUAUUAGUGGGGGACAACAUCUCGAAAGGGAUGCUAAUACCGCAUACGUCCUACGGGAGAAAGCAGGGGACCUUCGGGGCCUUGCGCUAAUAGAUGAGCCUAAGUCGGAUUAGCUAGUUGGUGGGGUAAAGGCCUACCAAGGCGACGAUCUGUAGCGGGUCUGAGAGGAUGAUCCGCCACACUGGGACUGAGACACGGCCCAG
rnacentral:rRNA from 1 species